rnacentral:lncRNA from 1 species
CAAAACUCCUGGCCGAGGGGUCUAGCAAGCUGCAUUGUGACCCAGCCUGCAGGUCAUUGUGAUGCCCGCUCAAGAGAGAGAACCAUUGAGACAAGGGAAGAAUUUUCAUUGAGUCUCCAUGGGCCAGGCUCUCUGCUGGGUCCUUGCUACUCAAAGUGUGUGGUCCUCAGACAGGAAGCACGCAGGUCACUGGGGAGCUUGUUAAAGGACUCUCCACACCCACUGAGACCUGCUGAAUCAGGCUAUUUCAGAUGAAUCAUCUCCUUGAGUUCUCAGAGCCGGCUUAUGACAUAGAUAGGAUGGGAAUUAUCACCAUGGAAAUUUUUGUAGUAUAUGUUUUCUAAAAUCGGUCUUUUGCUUUUAAUUGUAGUUUCUUCUUCACUUUAGCCAUUUCCAGGAGCUCAGAAGCAAUUUCCGUGUUCACAGCUCUUCUUGGGUGGUUCACUCUGAUGAGCUGAGCUGCCAUGUUGCCAGCUGCUCUGUGGAAAUUCCUGCACAUCAAGGCAUUGAAUGCAGCCUUCAGCCAACAGCCAGUGCAAGAACUCAUAAGGAACUGAAUCCUGCCAACAGCCACUGAAUGAGCUUCGAAGCAGAUCGACCCCUCUCUUGAGCCCAGAGAUGACUUUAGCCCUGGCGGACGCUUUGAUUGCAGCCUGAGAGAGACCCAGAGUCAGAGGACCCAGUUAAGUCACACUUGGAUGCCUGACCCACAGACACUGUGGAAUAAUAAGUGUUGUAUAAAGCCAGUAUGUUUGGGGGUAAUUUGAUAUGCAGUAAUUGAUAACUAAUGUAAUCUCCCUUCAAUUGUGUUGUCAAGGUCUAGCUUGUCAGAUUGGUGGAGGGAUUCUGGGCUUGCUCUAAAACUAUACAGAAAAACCUAGUGCAGGAAAGACUGCCAGUGUUCACCAAAUCUGGUUUUCCUUCCCUUCCCAGGUACAAUGUAAACCACAGUUCCCAGCCUACCUUGAAUCCAGAGGGAGGAUGGGUCUGAUAAAUUGUGCCUAGAAGUGAUAAACACCUGGCAGAUGCACCCAGCCUGGUUCCUAAAGCAUUGCAUUUUAGGAGUUCCCUUCAUGCUGUUACUCUUUGCUUUAAGGUGGUUGGACACAGAAGAUGCAGGAGAGGACUUCAGUGAAGACUUAAAAGUUAGUGAGCUGAUAGAAGGACUCUUGUCUGAGUGCCCACUUUGAUGAGAGUCUCCUCGGAAACUGCCAACCAGGAGCAUUCUUAGUGGACUUUAUGGGAUCAAGAAUCAACCUAUGUUGCAUUAGCUCUUAAGAUGCUGGGGCUGUUUGUUAUGCAGCUAACCUAGCCUAUCCUGACCACCACACCUUUCUUAUAUGUUUUUGUCUAUUUCAUUUGCUUUGCAUGUUUAAAUUUUAAUAUCAAUUAAUUAUCUUUCAGUCCUUUAAACACAAUUGAUCUCUGUAAUACUUGAGGUAACCUGCAUUUCUUUGCUUUGCAAAUAUUUAUUAGAUACCAGGUACUAUGCUUCCAUUGAUGAAAGGGCACAGAUUUUCUCUUUAAAAAAUUCAUAAUGGGGGCCAGCCCAGUGGCACAAUGGUUAAGUUCACAUGUUCUGCUUCUGCAGCCCAGGGUUCACCAGUUCAGAUCCUGGGUGUGGACAUGGCACCGCUUGGGAAGCCAUGCUGUGGUAGGCAUCCCACAUAUAAAGUAGAGGAAGAUGGGCAUGGAUGUUAGCUCAGGGCCAGUCUUCCUCUGCAAAAAGAGGAGGAUUGGCAGCAGAUGUUAGCUCAGGGCUAAUCUUCCUCAAAAAAAAAAAUCAUAAUGAAUUAGGAAAAUAGAAACACGAAGAGGCAAUUGAAUAGAAGUAUAAUAAGGAUAUACUCAUAGAGCUUGUUCAAAUAUACUUUACACAUCAAGCACUAACCCUUAAUUACUCUUUUAACAGCACUUAAAACCCUCUUCAUCACAUUAAAUAUCUAUUACAUAUGGUGGUAAGAAAGUGUGGCUGUUUUGGAUCACAAUGAAUUUGGCUCAGAUAGAGGUAUUUUGUAUGUAGGAGACAAAAAAUGAAGUCACAGAAGGAAAAUAUGCCUAGACAUUUGAAAUGUAUUCAGUUGGCACUAGGGAGCCAUUGAUGCUUGUAGGGGGAAGAUACAGGAUAAACUUUUCUUUUCGAAAGAUUUAUUAGGCAGAGAUAUUAGGGUGGCCUAGAAGAGGGAAGGCAACAUGCAUGCGGGAAGACUACAUGGGAACCUUACUGCGGAGGAGAUCAAGCGUGAGUCAGCAGAGUCCUGCCUGAGGGCAACAGGAGAGGAAAUUAAUGCAUAGAAGUUAGCUUUGAGAGAAAAAUCUAUAAAUCUAACUGAGAGAAAUUAUCCCCACACGAUCUGAGAACAUUACUUGGCAUUUAACUUUUCAUUUCUUCCAUUUGUAUUUAGGCGUGUGUGCUAUCAUUUUCAUUAUAUAAGAUGUGACACUAUAUCUAGGAAAGUAACUAUUUCUAAUAAUGUGAUAUUGAAUUGUGUUUAUUUUUAUCUUAUAUUUUAUGUUUAAAACAAACAAUCCAAUCACGUAUGAAUUCUCCUAUUACUUAGGGAGAAUUAAAAACAUAUUCUUUGUUUACUUUUUGGUGUGACAUUACAGGAACAACUCCAGACUAUGAAAGAAAAGGCUGAGAGCUGAUUGAGAAGUUGAAGGGUUUCUUCAGAGUGAGAGCUGCAUCUUUUCCUGUGAUUCCCACCCCUCACCUCUAUGGAGAAGACAUCCUUCCCCUUUACUUGGGCUAGUUGACUGUUAAUGAUUCCAGAGGGAAACUUCUAGAAACAACGUGAGAGAUUAUCGCUGUUAACUCUCUAAACAAGGUGCUGCGCUGAAGGUAGAGUGUUGAACCCGGUUCCUUUUCUCGGUUGGGCAGGGUCAAAGUGCCAACAGUGAAGAAUCCAGUCUGGGAAAUCACAGUGCCAGUUAUACCUGCAGUCAUGGAAAAGGAUGACAACAAGGAGACACAGAGAUUUUUGAGUUUGAAGUACCUUUUCAGACACCUGCAGAUUCAACUGGAGGCCGUGGGUUCACAACGAUGCUGCUUUUUCAUCUGCUCUGAACUUGCUCUUACACAGGCGUUGAUAAAAACAGGGCAUACAGGAAAUAACAUGGAUUUAGGAACCUUGCAGACCUGGUUUGUGACAUAUAUGUCAACUCUGUUGUCUUAUGCAAUUUACUUGACUUGUGUGAGCCUCGCUUUUUAUUGGCAAGUGAAGAUCAUAACCUAGUUUGCUUUGCUGCUAUGAGGGUUGAAUGUCUCAAAAAAUACAAUGUUCCCAAUACAGUGUAAUAUCCUUGUUCUUGUCUCACUUUCCAUAGAGAGAGGAAACUCCCCUGCUGGACCCCCCCCAGAGGCACCAAUGGGUUUUCUACAGAUCUCAAUAUAACCCAACUUUCUCUUAUUUCCAUAGUUACUUACCUUUUCCACAAGUACAUCCUUCUCUUGGGUUACUGGCAUUUUGAAAAUAGGCUAUUCCAAGAUGCAUUUCCCUUUCCUGUACUUGAAGUGGUCCUAAUCCACACCAAAGUGGUCCCAAUCUGAGUGGUCCUCCAUCUUUAGAAGAUGGCAC